CAGUCGCCGCGGUAAAACGGAGGGUGCAAGCGUUAUCCGGAUUUAUUGGGUUUAAAGGGUCCGUAGGCGGAUCUGUAAGUCAGUGGUGAAAUCUCACAGCUUAACUGUGAAACUGCCAUUGAUACUGCAGGUCUUGAGUAAAUUUGAAGUGGCUGGAAUAAGUAGUGUAGCGGUGAAAUGCAUAGAUAUUACUUAGAACACCAAUUGCGAAGGCAGGUCACUAAGAUUUAACUGACGCUGAUGGACGAAAGCGUGGGGAGCGAACAGGAUUAGAUACCCCGUAGUCCCUGUCUCUUAUACA
rnacentral:rRNA from 1 species